UGUGUGUGGGCAUGAGUAAGAGGAAAAGGAAAAAAUAAUACUGAAAUUAAAGACCUGGUUAAUGGGAGCUAUACUCAUUAGCUUGCUACAAAUAAGCAUACGGCUUGUGUUGAAACUCUAAACAGGCUCAAGCUGUAGAUGCAGAAGAUUUGAAUACCCUCUCUGAACAGCAUUGCUUCCUCUCAUUUGCAGAUGAUAGAAGCAGCCACAUUCAAAAGCUCUUAUCUCUAGUCUGCAGAUGGAGAAGAGAAGCAUGCAGUAUGCUAAGGGUGAAAUUUUCAACAG